rnacentral:lncRNA from 1 species
AACUGCCCAGCUGGAUAGAGACAGACGGGGAGUUGCUCUUCUGGUCCUCAGAGGAAAGGAAGUACAGUGAUGUCAGCAAUGACCGCCACUGACAUCUCUACCUGGUCAAAUAGCCAAACUGUCCCAAAGGAGAGCCUUGGUAAAGCACCCGCGGGAAGAAGAAAAUUAUGCUCAAGCAACAGGGUGGUCUUCAGAAUGGAAGCCAGAGUACAAAGACAACUGGAGAAUACACACGUAGAAUAAAUAAGCUGAGAAUAAUGGAAAGUUGGAUGAGAGAAUUGACAUUCCACAAAGGUUUUACUUCUCCAAACAGUUGUUCAGAUCAUCUUGGGUCAUCUGGAUUUUGGCCAUUUCGUCACAGGAAAGACUUGUAAAGACACUAUGAGCAGCCUCAGUCAAGC